rnacentral:rRNA from 1 species
UCGCCUGUUUACAAAAACAUUUUUUAGAAUAUUAUUAAUAGUAAAAUGUCAAUGAAAAUUUUUAAAUAGCCGCUUUUGUGCUAAGGUAGCAUAAUCAUUUGUCUUUUUAUUGAAGACUUGAAUAAAAGAUUUUAUAUCUUAAUUUUUUUCUAAAAUUAAUCUUUUCAAAUUAUCUUAAAGUAAAAAGCAUUUAUUCAAAAGAAAGCGACAAGACCCUAUUGAACUUUACUUUAGUUAAAUUGGGGUAAUUAAUUAUAAUUAUUUUAAUUAAUAAUCCUUAAAAAUAUAAUCUAAUUAUAUAAUAUGAUCAAGUUACCAUAGGGAUAACGCGCAAUAUAA